AUUGAACGCUGGCGGCAGGCCUAACACAUGCAAGUCGAGCGGCAGAACAGAACUAGCUUGUUGUUUCAGCGGGCGACGGGCGGGCAAUGCCGAGGAACCUGCCUGGCUGUGUGGGAUAACGGCCGGAAACGGGCGCUAAUACCGCAUUCGCCCAGACGGCGAACGGGUGGGAGCUUGGGACCUUACGCCAUCACGUGAUCCUAGGUCGCAUUAGCUAGUUGGUGGGGUAAAGGCGUACCAAGGCGACGAUCCGUAGCUGGUCUGAGAGGAUGAUCAGUCACACUGGAACUGAGACACGGUCCAGACUCCUACGGGAGGCAGCAGUGGGGAAUAUUGGACAAUGGGCGAAAGCCUGAUCCAGCCAUGCCGCGUGUGUGAAGAAGGUCUUCGGAUUGUAAAGCACUUUAGGUUGGAAAGAAAAGCAGCAAGUUAAUACCUCGCUGUUUUGACGUUACCAACAGAAUAAGCACCGGCUAACUUCGUG
rnacentral:rRNA from 1 species